GCUUCGGAACUGGGCAAUGCAACCUGGAGAGGCUUCGGCUGCUUGGCGGAUGGAAGGGCAGCGCUAUCCCGUGAGAAGUUGAGUUGUGGACGUUGUUUUCACGAGGUUCCUUGAUUGGUGAAGCGUGUAGAGUUGAUCCAUAGUACGGGGAAUGGGACAUUUCGUCGAGUAGUGCUGACGAAAUGGAGGAAAUUGAGAAAAAGUUGGUGAUGCAAAAGCUGUGCUGGAAUGCGAACAAUAUGCGUGCCAGUUCUGAUGGUAUGGAGCGGGAGGGUCAAGGACCGGAAUGGUCGGUAGUGGAACGACAUAGGAAGAAGAGAGAUCAUGAUACAGAAAGCAGUGGAGCGUCUAGUAAAGAAAGCAUAAAGAGGCCCAAGGUAGGACGCAAGCGUAGUGAUGUGGAAAGUGGUCAUAGUGUUUGAUGAGAUCACAGGGCCUCACUUACUGUGCGUCCUAUUCGACUAACUAAUACCGCAGAGAAAGAGGUAGGUGAAGUGAAAUUAGCUCGGUUAAUUGGAAAUAGUAUGUUGUUAAUAUUGUGUGGUAGUAGCCAGGCUCAGCAAGAGAAGAUUUAGAAAAUGGAAAAUCUUAAUGGAAGAAGAUUAAAAGCCAUGUCCCUGGUGCAUAUGCUAGAUUGAGGGGAUGUCUAUGUCCACAGAUGAUAUUAAAGAAAAUGUGAAGGGAGGCAGAGUGAUUGGGGCCAAAAAGUUGAUCAGUAGGAAAGAGGGUCAAAGAAGUGAAAGCUUGUCAGGGAUGUUGAGGUUUGAGAAAGUCUUGCCGGGAAAAGUAGAGAUAGGAUUCCUUAGUUUCACUGUUAGAGAAUUUGUCCCAUAUGCACUGCAGUGUUUUAAAUGCCGAAGAAUGGGACAUGUAGCUGCUCAGUGUAAAGGAAAGAAAAGAUGUGCCAAGUGUGCAGGGGCACAUGAUUACAGUGAAUGUGGAAGCAAUGUGAAGAUGAAGUGCUGUAAUUGUGGGGGAGAACAUAGUGCAGCAUUUGGUGGAUGCCAGGCACAGAGAGAGGCUAGAUGCUCAGAGAUGUGGGAUCAGUAGACGUUAGGGAAUUUGGAAUUUGAUAUUCAUGGUAGUACAGAAUUGGGCAGAUCAUGAUUUAUCGUACAUUGCAGCACAGUAGGUGGCGGCAUGCGCUAAAACGAUUGUUUUAAAACGACCGCUAUGAUAUCAUAGAAGUAGAAGAAGAAGGCGAUGGCUGUUUCUGUAUUUCUCCCCCUUUGCGCUAUCUGAAAAACAUGAAUUUAUCGAGACGAAUUGGUAAAAUUGAAUAAGACGGAGAAAAGCAAGCAUUCUCCAAACUAGUGUCCACCCUGAGAUUGGACGGUUGUGAGUUCAAUCCCUAGCCGAGUCAUACCAAAGACUGUAAAAAUGGGACUUGAUGCAUCUCUGCUUGGCACUCAGCAUUAAGGAGAUAGAUUGGGGGUGAGGCCCUGCGAUAGACUAGCGUCCUGUCCAAGCUGCCCCGCGCUACAUAAAUAGGAGUUGGGACAGCCUGGAGACGUUCGGCUCGCACAAGCCAAGGCACUUCAUUUCACAAGGUAAUAUUCUUCAAAUUCAAGGUUUGAAAGCACAAAUGAUGAGCUUGCCAGGGUGCCAGUCUGUUUGUGCCAUCAUGCCACUGCUUGUCAUGCCAAACUGUUUGGCAUAUGUCACGGAGUACAAGGAGUGUAAUGUUAACACGAACACAUACAUAGGUUACCAAUGAGAAGCUGAGGUGGAAAUCUUAGCUAGAAUAAUUUGUGGCUUAACAUGUUAAUGAAUAAUUUCCCAUAUGAGAGGCAGUGCAAUUUAGGGAGUAUUGGCAGUACAUCACUGAUAUAGUGUACCAAUAUUGCUAAUCACAAUAUUCUGUGUAUUACAAGUCAAUGGUUGUUUGGUAGUGUGACCUCCCUGCAGCUGUCAUCAAAUGUGGGACUAGCUAGCCUGUCUUACUGCAUUCUACACAGAUUCUGUCUCUCGAGAAAUUGGAGGGACACAAACGUCGGUAGUAACAGAUCCACCUCCUCUGAAUCCAGGGCAAUGUUUUGCCCUGGGGGAAAAACCGAUUGACUGAACAAAGGAAAGUUUCUGCCUCCCAUGUGGGAAAACUCUGCAAUAAGCAAAAAGCCAUCCUGAAGAAAAAGUACCAAAGUCCGCCAGGAGGGGAAACUGAGCAUCCAUUUUAUAUACAUUGCGAUCUCCACUAUCAAGCUGGUAAAAGUAGCAAGGAGAGCCAACAUGAGUAUAUUCUAUCUGAGUCAGGCUACAGGAGAAGACAUCAAGGAACAUGUUCAUUCUUAAACUCAGAAGUCGAUGAGCCUAUCAGAACAGCUCUGACAAAGGGCGUCUCUGGUAUUGGCAAAACUAGCCAGGUGCGGAUGAUGAUUCUUAACUGGGCAGAGGGAAAAGGAAACCAGGAAGACCAACUAAUAUUUCCCCUUCCUUUCCGGGAGCUGAAUUUGCUGAAGGAGAGACUGAGUCUGAUUGAACUUCUUUACGAGUUUUUCCCAGAAUUGAAAGAACCAGGAAUUUGCAACUUGGAAAAUUGCAGAGUUGGGUUCUUCUUUGACGGGCUGGAUGAAUUCCGACGUCUUCUUGACUUCAAGAACAGCCCGAUAGUGACCAAUGUCACAGAGGCCUCCUCCGUGCCGACACUGCUUACAAACCUAAUUAACGGUAAUCUUCUUCCCUCCGCCGCUCACAUAUGGAUUACAUCCAGACCUGCGGCAGUCAGUCGCAUCCCUCUUCAGAACAUUGACAGAGUGUCAGAAAUCGAAGGCUUCACCGACUCCCAGAAAGAAGAGUUCUUCAGGAGAGCAAUCAAUGACACGGACCAGGCCAAAGCAGUUAUCACCUACUUGAAGAACUCGAAGGGCCUGUACAACUUGUGCCAGAGACCUUUUAUCUGUUCAAUCUCAGCGUCAAUACUCGAAAAACAGACAUAUGUACCCGACAAAACAUGCGAACCUGUCGCACUAACUCCAUUAUUUAACGACCCACUUAUCCUGUUGCAAAUGGGGAACCACAAUGUAAAGAUAGUUGAUGAAUUGGGGAAACUAGCCUUUAAGCAGUUGGUGAAAGGCAACACGGUUUUCUACGAGGAAGACCUAAGAGAGUGCAACAUUGAUGUCCAAGUGGCAGCUGUGUACGCAAAAGUGAACAUACCCGUCUUUAGGGAGGAUAUUGGGCUGCACCAAAAGAAGAUCUACUACUUUGGGCAUACUACCAUUCAGGUGUUCUUUGCUGCAUUGCGGUUUCUUCAAUCUGUUGGCGACCAAGACAAAAACCAGGCUGUCAACCGGAAAACCCAGAUUGAGAGAACUCUCUGGUUUUUUAGAGAUGCCACCCAACUCAAGAGCGCGGUGGACAUGACUUUGCGGAGCAAGACCGGACAUAUGGACCUCUUCCUUCGCUUCCUCCUCGGCAUUGCUCAGAACUUUAACCAGAUGUUCUCAGAGGCUGGCUUCACCACGUCUACUGCCCUACCGGAAAUGUUAGUGUACAUUAAGAAGAAGGUCUUGGAGAAUCCUGCUUCACCGAGGACCCUCAACUUGCUGAACUGCCUGAGGGAACUGAAAGACUACUCUCUAGACAACGAUAGUGUGCGCUUUCUCAAGACGGCAAUCCCCCCAGAUGCCAAGUAUCCACCUGCACAUUGGUCCGAUCUGGCCGCUCUGUUAGUGGCAUCAGAGUCUGGGUCGAUAGACGUGCUUGGGUUGGAAGUAGAGAACAGAGGAGACAAGGAACUUCUGAGGAUGCUGCCAGUGAUCAAAGCUUCCCAGACCGCCACGCUGUCGUAUCACAACCUGACUGAGAAAUCCUGUGAAUGUCUGGCCUCGGCGCUCACCUCAAAGGUGUCCAAUCUGAAAACUCUGGACCUGAGUUUCAACACGCUGAAGGACUCAGGAGUACAGCUGUUGGCGGCUGGCUUGGCCAAGCCACAUUGCCGACUGGAGAGACUGAAACUGUCCGGCUGCAGGGUCAAACAGUAUGGCUUUGCAGCUCUGGCCAAAGCUCUCAAAUCCAACCCGUCUCACCUUCGAGAGUUGGAUCUGAGCGGCAACGAACCCGGAAGAAUCGGGGGUGUUUCAUCUCGUUGACGGACUAAAGGUUGUUAAGUGCGAACUGCAGAUCCUGAAGCUCUCAAACUGCAAGCUGGGCCUGGAGCUGAGUCGCGCUCUGGCGGUGUUGCUGAUAGACAACCCCAGACACCUGCGAGAGCUGGACGUCAGCAUGAACGACCUGGGAGACCCAGAUAUACAAACUGGAGUUGUACUGUUGUCAGCUCACUGAGAAAUGCUGUGAGAACAUGUUUGGAUGUCUGGUGAACAUCCCCAGUCUGAGGGAGCUCAACCUGAGCAACAACAACCUGAAGGACAAGGGGGUCAAGAUGCUCUGCAACGCCUUCGGGCUGCCCGCCUGUCAACUGGAGAAACUCAAUCUGGCGAGCUGUGGCUUCACAUCUGGAGGAUGUCGUUGGCUGGCUGGAGGGUUCAGUUUCAGCCCCACCUUCCUCAAACAGCUGGAUAUCAGCAGGAACCACCUGGGCCACUCAGAUGUUGUCGCGUUUUUCCUGUUCCUCAAAACUAUACGCUUUUCACUGGAGACCCUACGACUGAGUGACUGUAAGAUGACAGAGCUAUGCUGUCCAGCGCUGGUCGAAGCUCUCCGCUCCAAUCUCACCAACCUGAAAGAGCUGGAUCUAUCUGGAAACGACCUGGGAGACAGCGGUGUAAAAACACUCUGCAUGGGACUGACCUCAACAACCUGUAAACUGGAGAGACUGUUUCUGAGGGCUGCUCCUCCCUAGCGUUAGCCCUGAAGUCCAGCUGCUCCAAAAUCACAGAACUAGGCCUGAUGGGAAACGACACGGGAGAAGAUGGACUGCGGAUUCUCUCCGGCAUCAGGGAUGACCCACACUACAAUCUACAGACUCUAGAAAUAAACGAUUGAGAGUGGCCUUGCUCGCUGGAGGUGGUUCUUGGCUCGACCUUUUCCCAAAUCUGGAGUGAAGUUACUUAAUGGGGAACACUAUGGAGUGAAGAUACGAAACGACUGGCUGACAAGUCUCGACACACUUGCUCAACAGUAAGCACUUGACGUGCUUUGAAACAACUGGACUGGUUCACUGACGUUUGACCAUUUUUAAAGUUGCUUAAAGUAUCCUGGCUGCCCACACUUGAACAGAAGACCAAAGAGUAUUUACCUAGAAACAGAUAGUGAGGCUGAAGUGACACACACACUGUUGCUAACUCCGUUCCUCUGGUCUUGCUACAGUAUCAACUCAUUUAACCUUUGCAGAAGCCUUACAGCAUGUUUUGCACAUCAGUAUGUACACUAUAGAAUGUAUAGCCUCAAACACACAUGACCGGCCUCUUGACAACGUCUUAGCCAACUACGGUAGCGAAAAGCUAGCAGUUUGGUGGAGUGAGGUUACGUUAUAGCGUCUCUGAGGGAGAAGGAUGAUGCGAUGUUUUCUUUUUAACACUGGUACAGUCUCUUGGUAGCACAGUCUUUUUGCUUUUUGCUUUUCAAUUUUUAUUUUAUUUCUCUUUGAAAGUGCUUUUUUUUAUUAAGAUGAUCAAACAUUUCGGAAAAUGUAUACAGUAGUACAACUCUUGAUUUAUUUACUAUUGUUGUGUACAAUGUACAUUUUACCCAAAUAUACCAAGCUACUUCUAUUGGUCAUGAUGUUUUUUUUUUUUUUAAGUACUAAUGGGAGGUUUAACAUCAGAAGCUUUCCAACUUUGGUCAUAUGUUUUAGGUCUGGUCUCCAAAUCGGUUUGCACCUUCUGCAACAGCCUGGGUGAUGCCGUAUUUCAAGUUAAACAAGUGCCUUUAGAGUAGUGUGAUUGUGGGUGACAGUUCUCUACUAUUUGUCUCCUCUGCUGGUAUGUACAGUAUGUCUGUUUGAGUGUGCUUGUAUGUGUGUUCUGUUGUUGUGUUUGUGUGUAAAUGUAUACAAUCAUGUCUCAUGUUCAAAUUGUUACAAUGUUACACAUUGAUUCUCUGAUUGUUAUGGUGCAUCACCACCACCACCUGGUGGCGAAAAACACGAAUUUCUCUCUAAGGGGGGUAAACUAAUGACGUGUGUGAAGCCAAUCGCGGCAGCACCCACUACUGGGUCCCUAAUAAUAAACCAGACAGCAUCUUUUGCUACAC